rnacentral:rRNA from 1 species
GUAGGUGGCAAGCGUUGUCCGGAAUUAUUGGGCGUAAAGCGCGCGCAGGCGGUCCUUUAAGUCUGAUGUGAAAGCCCACGGGCUCAACCGUGGAGGGUCAUUGGAAACUGGGGGACUUGAGUACAGAAGAGGAAAGCGGAAUUCCACGUGUAGCGGUGAAAUGCGUAGAGAUGUGGAGGAACACCAGUGGCGAAGGCGGCUUUCUGGUCUGUAACUGACGCUGAGGCGCGAAAGCGUGGGGAGCAAACAGGAUUAGAUACCCUGGUAGUCCACGCCGUAAACGAUGAGUGCUAAGUGUUAGGGGUUUCCGCCCCUUAGUGCUGCAGCUAACGCAUUAAGCACUCCGCCUGGGGAGUACGGCCGCAAAGGCUGA